CUGUGCUGUGGGUUCAGAGGAGAGCUCAGGGCACCUCCACCAUGGCCUGGACCCCUUUCCUGCUCCCCCUCCUCACUCUCUGCACAGGUGC
rnacentral:pre_miRNA from 1 species